rnacentral:tRNA from 1 species
GGAGGGUGUAGCUCAGUGGUAGAGCGUAUGCUUAGCAUGUAUGAGGCCCUGGGUUCAAUCCCCAGUACCUCCA